rnacentral:rRNA from 1 species
GUGACUGAGUGGCGGACGGGUGAGUAACGCGUGGGUAACCUGCCUCAUACAGGGGGAUAACAGUUAGAAAUGGCUGCUAAUACUGCAUAAGCACACAGUGUUGCAUGACACAGUGUGAAAAACUCCGGUGGUAUGAGAUGGACCCGCGUCUGAUUAGCUAGUUGGUGGGGUAACGGCCUACCAAGGCGACGAUCAGUAGCCGACCUGAGAGGGUGACCGGCCACAUUGGGACUGAGACACGGCCCAAACUCCUACGGGAGGCAGCAGUGGGGAAUAUUGCACAAUGGGGGAAACCCCUGAUGCAGCGACGCCGCGUGAGCGAAGAAGUAUUUCGGUAUGUAAAGCUCUAUCAGCAGGGAAGAAAAUGACGGUACCUGACUAAGAAAGCCCGGCUAACUACGUGCCAGCAGCCGCGGUAAUACGUAGGGGGCAAGCGUUAUCCGGAUUUACUGGGUGUAAAGGGAGCGUAGACGGAUGUGCAAGUCUGAAGUGAAAGCCCGGGGCUCAACCCCGGGACUGCUUUGGAAACUGUGUAUCUGGAGUGCCGGAGAGGUAAGCGGAAUUCCCAGUGUAGCGGUGAAAUGCGUAGAUACUUGGGAGGAACACCAGUGGCGAAGGC